AGGUUGGAACAGCACCUUGAGUUUGAGCAUCGGAUCCACGUUGAGUAGCAUUUCGUUCUUCGUGUUGUUUGAUACUGAUAGAGUUAGUAACAGACUUUAAAAACUUUUUUAAAUCAAUGUACGACAUGACGUUUAAACAAUCAAAUCAGACAUCUCAACUUCACCACUUCACUGAAAUUUUUAUUAGCAAUAACUCAUGACAUACGUUUUCUUCAUUUGGAUCUUCUCUUUGCGUCUCUUCUCCUGGUACAAUUU